AAUCUUCCUCGACGAGAGUGAGUACUACGUGUCGAAUUUCGAGAAGAAUCACCCAGAAAUCGAAGCCUAUGAUAUACAGUACACCACCAGAGUAAGCGAAAUGGCCGACCUUCUCUCCUCUACGAAAGCACAAGUUAAAGGCGAGUGUCGGCCUGUACAGAAUUUACUGUUCUCGGAUUGCAACCUUGGCAUAAACGACAUGCCGAAUCACAUCUAUGAAGUU
rnacentral:misc_RNA from 1 species